rnacentral:lncRNA from 1 species
AUGUUCUUGCCAUCAGUCAGCACGUAGUAAGAAGCAUAUGUCUUACAUGCUACAUGCUUGCAGAAAUUAGCAAGUACACAGUACACUGCCUGUCUUCAAAGGGUAAUGACUUCACCAGGGCCAUAACACCAGCCUAUUAAAUGACUACUGCAAAAUACUAGGCAGGUGAAAUUUAAGUACCACAAGUUUUGUGUGCCUCAGAUCAUAAGUGUGGUGACAGUUGAGGGAAGGGAGAUCAGUCAGGGCAUGGGGGAUGGUGUUGAGAGGCGUUCUAGAGGCGGUAAACUGAAGAGGUACAUUUACUAGGAUGAACUUUAGAGUAGUUAGGGGUGCAUGUGAAGCCAGAAGGUGGCACUUGGAGAAUGAGGAUGACAUGUUCACAGGAUGCUGGGAUGCUGAGGGGACCAGCAGGACUAUGCACAGCUAAAGGGGGCCCUGUUUAGAGACAGCCUUGAAAACCACAAAAAUUCCACCCUGAAGUUAUAGUCCAAAUCAUUAUGUGUAAGGGAGUGGCAUGCCGGCAGUGGAAUUUAAGGACAAGGGACUUCCUAGUUGUGUGUAUUGUAUGAUAGCGGAAUGACAGUUUCACGUCCUCCAGGGUUUAAACCUCAUGGAGACUUUGAGCCUGUUGUAUUAAUGGCCUGUGGACAGAUUCAGGAACUGACCCUUGGGAAUUAGUAGUUCCAGUGGCAGGUGAAUCAGAGGAGUGGCUCACCACGGUUUCUGUUGCUCCUCUUGCCUCCCCCAGACAACUCACUUCAUUCACCUUAAUUCAUUUUUUUUCCCUUCAACAAUGAAGCCGUUGUUAUUGCCACUCUUGAGUAGGGAAAAUAGUCUUGCUCAGAGUCACAUUAGCUAAAGGCCUCUGUUACAAAGAAAGCAAUGCAUAAAACCAUAUGGGAAGGAAGUUUUCAGUGCUUCAGAAAAGCAAGCCAAAAAAGCAGUCAUGCUCAAAGAGAGAGAAGCAAAGGAGUUUUCAUGUUGACAAAUGACGUGCAGAUUUUGUUAAGAAAAAGGAGCCAUUCUUGGUGAAAUGGGUCAUAGGCAACAUAAGGCAGAAAUGUUGUACCCUUAAACUAGAAUGUUAGAAUUUCAUCCUUUGUGGAGUGCAGCAAAAACAGAUCUUUAGGUUUUCUUCAGGUUAAGGGCCCUAGGCACUGUACUUUCUCCUCCCCAGUGGGAGACUCCCCAGAGAGCUGACUCCUUUACUUGCCAGUAGUUAGUGGUAGAAUUUCUACUUUCAUAAUGCUAUAAUAAUAUCCUUAAUGCACUACUUAAUAGUCCUGUUGUGAAAUGGGCUAAAUUUUUUAUUUCAUGGAGCUCAUGUAGGUAUUCUUUUAUUGGUUAAAUAUCUGAGCCCCUAUGACAUCCAGGCAUUGGGCUUUGUUUAGUACAAUACCUGGCACAUCAUAUACAUGUUUAAAGUAGUUCUUAUGCUUGUAUUGAAGUUAUUAAUGAUGAACUUGGAGAUUGGCACGGGAAUAAGAAAGAGGGUUGGCAGAGAUGUUGAGAAGGUUGAAUUGACAGGCAGUGGCUGUCUGGAUGUUGGGGUAAAGGGAGAGGAAGGAAUUUUGGAAAACCUUCAGUUUUCUGGCUUGACAGAAAGUAGAUGAGGCAGGGAAUACAGGGGUUGGCAUGGGUGGUUAAGUAUUUUGGGCGAGGAAGACAUGUUGAGUUAGAAGGACUCAGGGCCAUCGUCUGGCAGUUGUAGAUGUAUGGGUCAUGAGUCAGUAGUUGACGACGAGGGGUAGGUGUGGUGUCACUGGGAGACGCAUAAAGGUGGAAGAGCACUCAGGACAGAGCUGUAGGAAACACCAGAAUUUAAGGGACAGGUGGAGAGAAGGGAGCCAGAGAUGGUGCAUAGAGAGAGGCAGGAGCCAGGACCAAGAGGAGGGGUGACCUGGAGGCCGAAUUAGGAGAGCAUUG